GGGCUGAGUGUGUAGGUAUGUAAAGGACAGAGCACCAGGUCCAGUGCAUCAUGUGAGGAUUUGGUUGGGGUUCUCUGGAGUUGUUGUUCGUCUGCUUCACAAAGAGUGCCAAGCGUGAGUUCCUGCAAACAACUUCUACUCACCAUACGUCUAGAUUUGGGGUUCAAAGGUCUUUCCUCUUUUCCUCUUGUAGGAUGCUUUAUAGUCUCUGUGGAGCAGUGAUGAAAAUGGGAAGGGAAAUUCAGGGACCAUGGCGUCCCAUUCCUACUACCAAUGGACUGCGCACUUCUCUGAGGCCUCAAGGCGAACUACAGGGAAACCACGCUGGUCAUAGAGUUACCAUGGGCCUACUAUGUGCACCGAUGCUCACGUGCUUGACUUCCACACAAACUGUCUUCAUGAAGAAAGAGUUCUGGAAAGUUUCUCCGUUGCCUAUGAAACUACACAAAAAUGGGGAAAAAUGAAGGUGGGGGAUGAAAUGUAACUCAGAUCCGAAACCAGAUGAAAGAUAUUUGGGUCUUUGUAGUAAAAAUGAGUGUUUUUGUACUAGGAUAUUUUACUGUAUUAGUAACAGGUGGGGCAGAGUAAAACUUAAACCUUCGUAUGCAUUUUCCCAAUAUAAAUAAUCUUAUACUUUUGAAAACAUUCAUACAAUUUCUUUUAUUUUCAGUAAGUUGAAGAGAACAGCCAGCUAAAAAGCUGGCGGCUUUCCCACUGGCUCCUGGAUCAUCUUUUCCUUCUUCCUUUAUAGACACUAAUGAUACUUUAAAAUAUAUUUAGAAGUGUGCUUGAUCAAGUAACUUCUCCAUCUGAGGCUGGCAAAGCACUAUACUUUCUCAUUGAUUUCUAUUGGCAAAACCAUAGUUGGAAAUUAGGAAAAUAAGCCACAGGUAUUUUUGAAUGUAUUUCUCUCUAGAAUAAUUCUUUGCUUCCCCCAAAUGUUCAGAAGUUGAGAAUGUGUCAUGGCUUUUUAGGACUCCAUAAUGUGACUUUCUCGUUGCCUUGGAUUUUCCCUUAUCUCAGUAAGUGGUUAGCCCAUCAAAAAUAAAUCCUAAGGUAUAGCUUGCUCAGAUUACCUUUUUUACAGAAAAUGUGAUCUUUUAUCUUCCAUUUCUAAAGUAGAACUUUGAACAGUGACUCUACUAAGAAAGGCAACCCUGUGGGUCCUAGGUUUUGACUGAUAUUACUAAAGGCUAAAUCCCUUUCUCCCUACACAGCAGACAUCCUGACCAGUAACUCUCAAGCUCCUAGUGUACUUAUUCUCAACACAAAGGCAUUGACUCAAGAGAGCCACAAAUGCCAGUUCCCCUCAAAACUGAAUUGACAGUUUUAUCAAUAGUUCUAGAAAGCCUUUAUUAUAGCUGAAAUGAAAACAUUAAAAGAACUUUUAAAAACUUGAUUCCUUGACUAAAUUUUUAUCAAAAAUUUCCACUUAAAUUUCAAGAACUUAUGGUCAUUUGGGAGAUUAAAAACUAGUAUGAAUCUUUAAAGUUCAACUAAUUGUCCAACUGGUACAAGCUCAUGUGUCUGAGAAGUGGGGCAGAUCCCUGGUAGCAACAAGAAUGAGAUACAAACAUGGCCUUAGAGGAAACAAGAGUAAAAGGUUCAGUCAGGCUGAUGGUCACCUCCCUCCACCGCAACUUCCCCAGUCCUACUACUUGCCAUUGGCCAUGAGAAUGUGUACAUAGGACUUGCAUAGGAUGGGCGUGGCCUAUGCAUGGAAUGUCAAAGCUAUUAAAAGCUGAGGGUAGGCCAGGCACGGUGGCUCAUGUCUGUAAUCCCAGCACUUUGGGAGGCUGAGAUGGGCAGAUCACUUGAGGUCAGGAGUUCAAGACCAACCUGGUCAACAUGGUGAAACCCCAUCUUUACUAAAAAUACAAAAAUUAGCUGGGCGUGUUGGUGUGCACCUGUAAUCCCAGCUACACGGGAGGCUGAGGCAUGAGAAUCACUUGAACCCGGGAGGUGGUGGUUGCAGUAAGCCAAGAUCACACCACUGCACUCCAGUCUGGGUGACAGAGCAAGACUCCAUCCCCCCGCCAUCUCCAAAAAAAAAGAAAAAAGAAAAAAAA
ensembl:lncRNA